GCAAGCUAAGACGGGGGAAAGCAGUCUCGGGUCCCCGCCGGCUCCCACCUGCGGGCCUCAGGCCGGGCGCCCCCUUGCUUUCAGGGGAGGAGUCAGCAGGGCGUGAAGAGGAGGGAAGGCUGGCCUCUGACCUGGACUUUGAAGGACAGUAGGGUUUGCCAUGAGGGCAGAGCUCCCAAGGACUCAGACUGCCUCUCUUCUCUUCCUCUUUGGCACUCCUUCUGCCCCACGCUCUGCCUCACCUGCCCCGCUGCACGGCCCCCGAGGCCACGGUCAUCGAGCACAGAAGGCCCCAGUCACAGGCACUGGUGCAGGACGGCGCUGGGUCAGCUGCACAACGGCCACAGGAAGAGGAGCCAGAAGCGGAAGGAAGGGUAACCGGUGGUACCACUGAGCCUCGGUGGCAUCUAUGGGGCAGGCUGGCCUCGCAGGGGUGGACGUGGUGCCGAUCAGGGCUCCCUUGCUCCAGGCGGUGCUGAAAGAGCAAUGACAAAGCCCGCCUCCUCCCUCCCUCCCUCCUCUCGGCUCCGCA